GUUUGCAUUCUCAUCAACUCUUGCCUGGUUUCCAUCAAUUGCCUCCUAACCAGCACUUCAAUACAUCUGCCAGGAUGACUUUUCCAAAAGGAUUUUGAAAAAGCAAGCUGACAUAAAUCCUAUAAUCACAAGGAAAUGAGUUUUACCAACAACCAGAGAAAGCUUGGAAGCAGAUUCUUUCUACGUAGAGCCUCCAGAUGAGAACCAGCUAAGUCAUGCCUGGACUUCUGACCCACAGAAACUGAGGAUAAUAAAUGUUUUAAGCCACCAAGUUUGCGAUAAUUUGUUACAAAGCAUAGAAAGCUAACACAGAUGACUUGAAUUCUAAAUUCCAUGUAAAAUUUUAUAACUUUUCUCUUUAUGUAUUCAGAUAAACAAUAUUCCUUACACACAUUUGAAAACAUAUCAAUAUAAGACAGCUAAAUAUUUUUUAAAGUUACAACGUAAUACAAAUAGAAGAUAUAUAAGAAAGCAAAAUCAAAUUAUGUUUUCCUUUCAGAAUUAUAAAACCCCCACCUAGCAAUGCUAGGCUCCUGACAUAAAUUACUGAAAAAUAGUCAGUAAUGAAUUUUAAAGCCAAAACAGAAAGUCUUAGUCCCUUUCUACCAAAAAGGUAUUUAACACAUCUUAAAACAAAAAUCGAGUAACCCGGGGAGGAUAAAAUAAAUUUGUGUCACACCAAAGGAAGAUGUAAAAAUUGUUUGGUUUGCAGAAAAAUCAUUCAAAAUCAUUUCAAUCCUUGGCUCAUAAAUAAUGCAAACUUAAUGAGAUAUUCUAUCCUAACAUGUAUAGAUGAAGUUCUUAAUUAUUUCAAAGGGGAUUGUGCCUACAUACCUGAAAUUUAAACUUUCCCUGUAGAAAACAAUAAAAACAUACACUUCUUUAUAGAUAUAUUUAGAAUGUGUUAUCCCCAACUAAUAUUUUCUAAACUACACACAUACUUAAACACUGAAUUUAAGAUAUAAACUGAGAUCCUUACCAAUUUUGAAUGGAGUUUAAUCACAUCAACCCACAUAAAAGUCUCACAUGAACACAUAUUUUUAUGUGACAUAUUUUUCUUCAAAUAAAUAUUGCUUCUCAGACUUUUUAGCAACUGUGGCAAAAACACUCAUUGUGAAUUUAUUUUUCUUACAGCUUGUAUAUGUUUUCUUUAUCUUGAAUUGUCUGCCCAAGUAGAUGAGAGAUUUGAAAAAUUCUGUCGACAGUGGUAACAGAGUCAGAGGUCAAAAGUUUCCAAGCAUGAACUAAACCUAAACAGCAAGAAAAAUAUCAAAAUGUAUGCAAAAAUACACAGAAAGGUUAUUGAUCUUCUAAAAUCAUACCAGAUUUUAGAAGAAAUACCAGAAAAUAGCCUUAAGGAAAUAAACCUUGUGUUUGUCUAAUAAAACCCAUCAAGAAGUAUGUAAUAAUUACAUCAACCCUCUUGAAAUUUUUUUAAAAAGGCCAAGUCUAUAGAAUGAAUAGUAUCAGGCCAAGAAAAAAAAUUCAGGCCCUGUUUCCAAGGACAAUAAUAGUGGAACAGACAGAUAGUGGCCAGUCUAGCCUGGGGAAUGCAAACCAACCAAGUAAAAAAUUUGACAACUCAGUUUUUUAUAAAAUUAAACCAAUGCUGUGUAUAAAAGUAUCCAGAAUGAAAUGAAGAACUGACUCAUAUUUUGAUAAUUAAUGCUCAAAAAUGUGAAAUUUUCUGUUCCAUUAUUUAGGUAUUUUAAGAAAAAUUUACUUUAAAUUUUUGCUUUAUGUGACUAUAAUAGCUAUAUUUCAUGUAUUAGCAUUUAUACAUACAAAGGCUGUAGAGUUUUACCAGACUUUAUUCGAGGGUCCAGAGUACUUAAAGAGAACAAUACAGGAAUAGAAAUAGCAUAAACUAUAUACUUCAAAUAAUUUCACAGGGCUGUGUAAGCAUUUUAAGGAAUUGAGGCUUUAUCCUAAGCCUAAGGGAAAGCCAUCCAUAUAACCAAAUUUCUGUUUGGAAAAAUGUGCUCUGGUUGUAGUACAGAGAAUUAGUUGUCAGAACAAAGGUGAGAUGGUGGUGAUAUAGAUGCCAAAGUAAGAAAAUAUGAAUGUGCUAUGCUAUUUCACUCUUCUGUCCUUCACCAACCUAUUUUCUCUGCUUCCUUUUCUCUUUGUUCAUAUUUUCAGUUCAAGUUUCACCCCUUCUAUGAAACAUUUCAUGAAGUAUCAGCCCAUUCUGUACAAUCAACCACUCCUGCCUCUGUGCCCAAACAGUAUAUGCUUUUAUCAUGGCCCAUGCCAUUGAAAUGCAUUUAGCUGUAUAUGUAUAUUCGUCCUUGUACAAAUCAAUAAAUAAAUUCUUAAUGAAAUUUAUUUUCUGUCUCCAGCAUCUAAACAAUGUUUUGCCUUGUGCUAAUCAAAAAAGUUCUGGUUGACAUUUGAAAUGGUUAUUUUGAUAAUCUCUUUCUGUACCUUCCCUAAAGAUUACUCUUAAGACAUUCUGAAAAUAUCCAUUUUGGCAAAGUUGUAUGAGUUAUUCAAGAUUACUGUAAUUUAAGUUGCUAACAAAAUGGAUCCUAUCUAUUUGUUCACCCUUUAUUUCCCUG
rnacentral:lncRNA from 10 species